rnacentral:rRNA from 1 species
UAAUACGUAGGGGGCUAGCGUUGUCCGGAAUCAUUGGGCGUAAAGCGCGUGUAGGCGGCCCGGUAAGUCCGCUGUGAAAGUCGGGGGCUCAACCCUCGGAUGCCGGUGGAUACUGUCGGGCUAGAGUGCGGAAGAGGCGAGUGGAAUUCCUGGUGUAGCGGUGAAAUGCGCAGAUAUCAGGAGGAACACCAAUUGCGAAGGCAGCUCGCUGGGACGUGACUGACGCUGAGACGCGAAAGCGUGGGGAGCAAACAGGAUUAGAUACCCUGGUAGUCCACGCUGUAAACGAUGGACACUAGGUGUGGGGGGUGUCGACUCCCUCCGUGCCGAAGCUAACGCAUUAAGUGCCCCGCCUGGGGAGUACGGCCGCAAGGCU